CGCAUCUGUGCAUGCAGCAUAUCAAUAAGCGGAGGAAAAGAAACUAACAAGGAUUCCCUUAGUAACGGCGAGUGAAGCGGGAAGAGCUCAAAUUUGAAAUCUUCAAGGUUUUACCUUGACGAAUUGUAGUUUAAAGAAGUGUUUUCUGUUGAAGUUUUGGUAAAAGUUCUCUGGAAUAGGACAUCAUAGAGGGUGAGAAUCCCGUAUUUGACCAUUAUUUUCAGCUGUGUGAUACACUUUCAAAGAGUCGGAUUGUUUGGGAAUGCAGUCCAAAAUGGGUGGUAAAUUUCAUCUAAAGCUAAAUAUUGGCGAGAGACCGAUAGCGAACAAGUACCGUGAGGGAAAGAUGAAAAGAACUUUGAAAAGAGAGUUAAACAGUACGUGAAAUUGUCAAAAGGGAAGCGUUUGACACCAGUGUUGUUUUCUCGAAAAUCAAUUAAAAAGAGUUUAGAUUUUGUUGUGUAUUGACCUUAACAGCUUGCAUUUCAAUUUUUCUUGCUUUUUUUAAUGCACUUUUCGUUUAACAAGUCAGCAUCAGUUUCUUUUGUUGUAAAAAGGUCAUUGGAAGGUGGCUUUCUUUUCGGAGAAAGUGUUUAUAGCCUUUGACUCCUGCAAUCGGAGAGACUGAGGUCUGCAGCGUAGAUCCUUCGGGGUUAGAUACAUUUGUGCUAAGUUCUAGCUUUUUAUAGACAACUUGUUGACUAUGAUUAGUCUUGUAGCUUACUCGCUUAUGCUAUUUUACCUACGCUUAGGAUGUUGAUGUGAUACUGCGAGCA
rnacentral:rRNA from 1 species